rnacentral:sRNA from 1 species
CACACGCGAAGGACGGCGGCCUGUUCCAAGGCUCGCUCCGGUGGCUUUGAUCCUCAAAGCCAAAACUUCGCGGCGGCUCAACCGGAGAAUUUGUAAUGG